CCCAUAUUCAGAAGCACAAUUUUGGGUCAAAGGGAGCAACACACAGCGACCCACCAAUUCAAAAGUAGUAGCACUCAAUUACUCUCUCCCUCUCUAGCGAUCCCGCAGCCGAGUUGAACAAAGCCUCUAUAUUCUUUUCUGCAUUCCUCACCACCCUCACUCUCCGCUGCCGCCGUCACGGUUGCGCCGCUGUCACUCCGUUUGCUCACGUCGCCGCGUGCUCUGUUGCUGCCGUGCCGCUGUUGCUCCCCACUGUCGCUCCUCUUGCUCGCGCCGCGGCCGCUCCUUCUCUCUGUUGCUGCCGUCGCUCCUCCUAUUUUGGUCCUUUUCUAGCUCUCUUUCAAUCAAGCUCACAAGAACCAGGUAUCGUUUUCUGAUUGUUACUGAACUCUUUCCAAAGCUAACUUCAGUUUCAUUUAGAAAUUCCCUAUUUCAGGUGUAAACUUGACCUAAUUGUAAUAUCCUGUUCUCUAAAUUUGAAGAGAAUAUAUAAUAUAUGUUGCGAAAUCAAUAAUUUAGGUUAGCUCAAGAGAGACCAUAGCUUUUGCAUCUCCUGAAGCAUUGAGUCCUUUACAAUUGAGCCUGAAGUAAGGAGAAUCAAAAGACUCAAAUCUCAUUCGUCACACAAAAUCUAGGACGAAUAUCAAGUUUAGCUCUUCUCUAAUCCUACUUCCUAGUUUCAAUAGGAUUUUUUUAUAUAUAUACUUGCUGCUUUGGUACAAGAAACAAGAAAAUUGGAGUUCAAAAGGUAAGUGAAUUGCAGUUCCAAUUAAGGAUCCAGCUUUCAGAUUGAAGAAAAUUUGAAUACUUUUUACUGUUGUAUCUUAGUUCUUGAAUAUAGUUUUUUUUUUGUCUUGCUGUGCAGUGAAUGUAGCAGUGCUAGUUGUUCCAAUAGUUAGUUCAGUGGUUGCUUUGGUGGUUGGAAUUGUUAUUGGAAUUUAUAUCUGAAAACACAGAUACAUUCAAAAGAAAAGAAGAGGUAAGUGACUUAUUAGUACUUCACUGUACUUACUUAGGAGACAAUUAUGUUUAAGAAUGUUUACUCACUCGAUCAUCAUUCUGACUUCAAGGUUCAUAUGAUGCACGUUUUGCAUUUUCAUAGGCUUGUAUAGAUAUAUAAAUAUAUAAUAUAAUAUAAAGUCUCUUUGUAUACUUCACUCGAAGUUGUACUUUAGUAGCAAAUUUGUUUGAUGGGUUAUUGUAGUUGAAAUUUCUAUUUUGCCUUAUUUGAGAGAGAUCGUUUUUACUUAUUAUUAGUUGUCCAUGCAUCAUGGUCCCCUUUUGAAAUAUUUGUCUUCGGGUACUGUAUACUCUUUAUGUGUUUAAUUAAUAUAAUGAUCAUAACAUAAGCUAAUUCAUGUGUCGUAAUUAAUCCUUGUUAAGAAAUUAUGAAAGUCCCAUUUAAAUAUGGGUUAGGCAUCCCCUGCUAAUUCUUGAUUAUUAACUACAAUAAUAAACAAGUAAAAAGUAUUUUAAGGCAAAAAGAAAUGAGUAUAGCAUAGGUAAAUACUAAGGGAAACUCAUGUAUUAUAGUUAUCUAUAAUUUAUGAAGUUUAGAUCCUUGGAAGGUCCUCUUCCAUCAAAGCUCUUUAGCAUUCCUCAAAUUCAGCAAGUGUAAGUUCUUAAGAUCCUUAUUUUGAAUCUACCUUUAUUAUGUUAUAUAAAAAUUGAUGUUAUUUGCAUUGCAGGAAAUUGAGGAACAAUGCAUUGAACAAUACAUUAGACUUAGGUGACAACAUUUGUCCAUUGCAGCUUGUUGAUCUUCAAGACGACUAGAUUUCCUUAGUAAUAUUCCGUUCGCAAUACAAAAACACAUUGAUUCUUAUAGGAAAUCCAGUGUGCAGUGUUCUCUCAAACACAAACUACUGCCAACUUCAGCAGCAGCCUAAGCAACCUUACUCGACAAGUUUGGCGAAUUACUUGAUAAGCUUAUUUUAAAUUCAAAGCAGCUUUAGUCAGAAGGGUAACUUUCAUUACAAAACAUGUUUAUAACUUAAUCAUAAAGGGUUGGAUCAUUGGCAGUAUGUAUGGAGUCUUAUACUAUAGGCUUAACCUUAAAAGGAUUAGUCCUUUCUGUGGGAAGUGGAUGAAGAAUAAAUAGUACAAUAAAUAGUAAAAGGUUGAAUGAAUCUGAUUAAUAUAAAAAAUUAUAAACUUUUACAGGUUGCAUUUAGGACCAAGGUAUUCCAUCCCAAAAUAAACAGUAAUGGCAAUAUUUGCCUAGAUAUACUGAAAGAACAAUGGAGUCCUGCUUUUACUAUAUCCAAGAUAAUGCAUUCAUGGACAUAUUUUUCUUCUUCUGUUUCAUGAUAUGAUAUGUUGUAUAAAUGCUUAUUGUUAAAGCUAAUGAUUUUAUGCAGGUGCUGUUGUCAAUAUGUUCAUUGCUAACAGGUCCUGCUGUCAAUAUGGAUGAGUUAAGACAAUUCAAACAUGGCUAGUAGACUUAAGGGAGGUGUAAGAGUAAAGAAUCCAAACAUGGCUAGUAGCACUAAGAAGAUGCACUGAAGCUUAGCUUAGUCUUCAUUCAAAACUAUUUAGUAUUAACGUCUACGGAAGUUGCUAUCAUUACCAUAAAAGGUUUCCUUUUUUAACAUUGCUUCUUUAAUGGUCCUUUAUAGAAAGCAUAUGGACUUGCCUCCUGAAUUUGAUAAAUCACAAGUUUAGUUAAGGUAUGUAUGAAUUUGAUAGAUCACAAGUUUAGUUAAGGUAUGUAUCUGAAUAUAUUAUGAAUUGUUAAAGAAUGUCAUUUUAAUAAAAAAAUUUUAAUUUUCUGUUUUACCUUUUAAUAAAAUGUGUACAGGAUAUGGUCAGUAGAGACGGAGAUUGCAGCCGUGGCCGAGGCCGAGGCCGAAAGGGGAGCCUCAGAUUCACAUGAUGCCUACUCCGGGUGUGCCAAGAUCAUGCACUCAACAAACUAAUGAACCUUCCAACACUGCCUCACAUGGUGUGCAGAGUGAUCUAAGCUAUUUAAUUACUUUACUUUAAAUAUUUUGUAUUAUUAGUGGAUUGCAAUUUAAAUGAAUAUAAGUCUAAAUUUAUUUAUUUAUCUUAU